GCGAGCGGCGGACGGGUGAGUAACACGUGGGUAACCUGCCCAAGAGACUGGGAUAACACCUGGAAACAGAUGCUAAUACCGGAUAACAACACUAGACGCAUGUCUAGAGUUUGAAAGAUGGUUCUGCUAUCACUCUUGGAUGGACCUGCGGUGCAUUAGCUAGUUGGUAAGGUAACGGCUUACCAAGGCAAUGAUGCAUAGCCGAGUUGAGAGACUGAUCGGCCACAUUGGGACUGAGACACGGCCCAAACUCCUACGGGAGGCAGCAGUAGGGAAUCUUCCACAAUGGACGAAAGUCUGAUGGAGCAACGCCGCGUGAGUGAAGAAGGGUUUCGGCUCGUAAAGCUCUGUUGGUAGUGAAGAAAGAUAGAGGUAGUAACUGGCCUUUAUUUGACGGUAAUUACUUAGAAAGUCACGGCUAACUACGUGCCAGCAGCCGCGGUAAUACGUAGGUGGCAAGCGUUGUCCGGAUUUAUUGGGCGUAAAGCGAGUGCAGGCGGUUCAAUAAGUCUGAUGUGAAAGCCUUCGGCUCAACCGGAGAAUUGCAUCAGAAACUGUUGAACUUGAGUGCAGAAGAGGAGAGUGGAACUCCAUGUGUAGCGGUGGAAUGCGUAGAUAUAUGGAAGAACACCAGUGGUGAAGGCGGCUCUCUGGUCUGCAACUGACGCUGAGGCUCGAAAGCAUGGGUAGC
rnacentral:rRNA from 1 species